AAGAGGAAUUCUACCCAUGUUGCUCAGAAAUGCUGGAUAAAAUUUCUGCUGCAUUGUGAAACAAAUAGUUCAGGCAACAUAACCCUAUUGUUUUGUGUAUAAGGUUCAGUUGCCUCCAUAUAAUUUUCUGGUGCUGUAUCGGAUGCCCAGGGUUAUUCUACAUCCUUCCCAGGUGGUAUUCCAGAAAUGUCCAAGUCUCCCAGAGAUUAUUUAUCAAAUUUGUUCCCAUGUGGAUGUCACAAAUAUCAAUGGGCAUAUAAAAUGAUGCUUAAAUAAUUGAAGACUGUCUUAUCAUCUUUUGAGAUUAGACUGUUGCAGGUAUCUAACAACAGGACAGUUUUAAGGACAUAUGUUCUUCAUUGGGGUGAGGAAGGAAACAGUCUUGUCUCAAACAUUGGAUCCAGUUUUGUUAGUAAGAAACAAAACACAGAUUUGGAAUGCUCAUAUGGCUGCUUCCUUCAACUUGAGGUUUGGUCACAUCUGGUUACACUGUAUGGACUUUAGGACAGUUUUUCAUGAAAUGUGAGGAGACAGAGCUGCAGAGAGAGAGACUGGCCUUGACAAGUUAGCUGUGGGAAUGGUGUCUUUGUCACCCAUCCCUGCCAGGGAGCCAAUAGCAGAAGGUAUAUUGGCGAUAAUUUUUACAAGUCGACAUCAGCUGACAGAAG
rnacentral:lncRNA from 1 species